rnacentral:rRNA from 1 species
ACGGGGGGUGCGAGCGUUGUCCGGAAUCACUGGGCGUAAAGGGCGCGUAGGUGGUUUGAUAAGGGUGUGGUGAAGGCCCGGGGCUCAACCCCGGGUCUGCCGUGCCGACUGUCAAACUCGAGGACUGUAGAGGCAGGUGGAAUUCCGGGUGUAGCGGUGGAAUGCGUAGAGAUCCGGAAGAACACCGGUGGCGAAGGCGGCCUGCUGGGCAGUAGCUGACGCUGAGGCGCGACAGCGUGGGGAGCAAACAGGA